rnacentral:rRNA from 1 species
AUUGAACGCUGGCGGCAGGCCUAACACAUGCAAGUCGAGCGGAUGAAGGGAGCUUGCUCCUGGAUUCAGCGGCGGACGGGUGAGUAAUGCCUAGGAAUCUGCUUGGCAGUGGGGGAUAACGUCCGGAAACGGGCGCUAAUACCGCAUACGUCCUGAGGGAGAAAGUGGGGGAUCUUCGGACCUCACGCUAUCAGAUGAGCCUAGGUCGGAUUAGCUAGUUGGUGGGGUAAAGGCCUACCAAGGCGACGAUCCGUAACUGGUCUGAGAGGAUGAUCAGUCACACUGGAACUGAGACACGGUCCAGACUCCUACGGGAGGCAGCAGUGGGGAAUAUUGGACAAUGGGCGAAAGCCUGAUCCAGCCAUGCCGCGUGUGUGAAGAAGGUCUUCGGAUUGUAAAGCACUUUAAGUUGGGAGGAAGGGCAGUAAGUUAAUACCUUGCUGUUUUGACGUUACCAACAGAAUAAGCACCGGCUAACUUCGUG